UGGCUCAGUUGGUAGAGUAUGGUGUUUGCAACGCCAGGGUUGUGGUUUCGAUUCCCAC
rnacentral:tRNA from 1 species